rnacentral:rRNA from 1 species
CCUACGGGUGGCAGCAGUGAGGAAUAUUGGUCAAUGGCCGGAAGUCUGAACCAGCCAAGCCGCGUGAAGGAAGAAGGUGCUAAGCAUUGUAAACUUCUUUUGUCGAGGGACAAGAGCAGGCACGUGUGCCUGACUGAGGAUACCUGAUGAAAAAGGAUCGGCUAACUCCGUGCCAGCAGCCGCGGUAAUACGGGGGAUGCGAGCGUUAUCCGGAUUUAUUGGGUUUAAAGGGUGCGUGGGCGGGCUGUUAAGUCAGCGGGAAAAGCCCGGGGCUCAACCCCGGCCGGCCGUUGAAACUGGCUGUCUAGAGUGGACGAGAGGAAGGCGGAAUGCGUGGUGUAGCGGUGAAAUGCUUAGAUAUCACGCAGAACCCCGAUUGCGAAGGCAGCCUUCCGACGGCGUACUGACGCUGAGGCACGAAAGCGUGGGGAUCGAACAGGAUUAGAUACCCGUGUAGUC